UACGGGGGGGGCAAGCGUUGUUCGGAAUUACUGGGCGUAAAGGGCUCGUAGGCGGCCAACUAAGUCAGACGUGAAAUCCCUCGGCUUAACCGGGGAACUGCAUCUGAUACUGGAUGGCUUGAGAUUGGGAGAGGGAUGCGGAAUUCCAGGUGUGGCGGUGAAAUGCGUAGAUAUCUGGAGGAACACCGGUGGCGAAGGCGGCAUCCUGGACCAACACUGACGCUGAGGAGCGAAAGCCAGGGGAGCAAACGGG
rnacentral:rRNA from 1 species